UGUUCCUUCUUCUAUUCCCAGCAUCACUCGCCCUUCCUCUUGCCGUCUGCGACCCCAACACGCCGCGGCGCGCCGCGCCCUCCCCAAGGGAGAGGAGCCUAAGCCCAUCUAGAUGUAGUAGCCCAACCCAACAAAUGACGAGGUUCUUCAUCGAGCGAAGCGACUGGGAGCGAUCGAUCCAAAUCAAUCAAUUUGGUCGUUCCCCAACCCCCCACUACUGCCAAGCCCUAGCGCCGCCGCCGGGCGCCUCCUCCAAAUCAUGUGCAUCUCUUGCAACUCCUAUUUCCGGUGUUAAUCGUCUACAUACCCGGGCAUAUUCACCGUCGUUCUGGACCGAGCACCGUUGUUGUUCCAUAGGAGGCGAUGGAAGGGUGUGGGGAUGCUGCAUCAACAGAAGAUAUUUUUUCCAUGCCAUUCGACAUAGGAGAAGUGAUGGACCUAGAUGACCCAAUGGACACGAGACCACGGUGCUCGAUGGUGAGCCGGACAAAUCCAGCGGUGGUGCCGACUGCCGAGGAUUGCCGAGGAUGCACGUGAGGUACGCUAGUGAGGUUGUUGGAGCAGAACAAUGGCAACAGCUCAGCUGGCUUUUCUGGCUACAAGGAGGUAAUCCAAAGAAAUAUAUGUCCCAGCCAAUUUCUUUUUCCCUUAUCCUGUAUUGAUCAUCUAUGUACGUGUGCAUAAAACUGAACUGGUGUAUGUAAGGAUAGUUCUUGUCAGUGUUAAUCAGUAGUUCAGUACCACUCUUCUUCCAUGUGUUUUAAUCAUCUCUGUAGUCUGUAUUUGUGCACAAAACGGAACCUCAGCCAAUUGUGUGUUUAGUUUAUCAUGUACAACUUGCAGAUGUACUAAUCAUCUUUCUACAUGUGCAUAAAACUGAAACCAUGGGCCUAAGCCGAUCCAAAUCAAUCGAUUUAUGUCUUUUCAUUUUUUUUAAUAAUUGAAUUCCAUAAGUUUUGGUGAGUAGACUUACAUUUUGUUAAAAAAAAUAGACCUUAAAUGUUCGCCCUGCCAGAUGUAAAUUGCUACAUUCAGAUUCCCUGUUGUGAUGUUGCUGAAUCUUCUGUUAUGCAUCAUAUAUCUAAUACUAUGUUGGAAAUAAAAAAUCCUUUCCCAGCUGUAAUUUCCUUCCAUAUAUGUUUAUUUCGAAAAUGUAUCCAUGUUUUGUUAAUUAGUAAGAAGAUUCCAAUCGCCGGAUGCAAAGGCCAGGUUUUUCUCCUUCCCAAAACAAAGAUUCUUAAGUGAGGACUCACGAGAACUAUCUUUUGUUCCCCUACCUUCCAUUAUUGAUUUAUCUGUGGAAGUUCCGACAAGCAAGAACCUUAUUUGUAUUUAUCGUGCUUUGAUCAUGCAUUUUUUGAUCGAUAAUUAAACCAGUAAGGUUUUCAUGAAUGCAUCUUCGUGGUUUUUGCACAGCUAUCCCCUCUAGAUAGAUAGCACAUUGAAUAACAAUGGUGGGAACUCUAAACAUUUGUGUAUGUCAACCAAAGACGUAAACACAAAAGAAGUUUGCGAUCCUUAUAUGAUUUCGGUUGACUUUUGUGCAACUGAUUCAUGCUAAACAAUUGGGAUGUCAUUUUGGUGAUCUUGUUGAAGAUUUGGUUGGAAAAGCAAGACGACAUUUUGCUUGUAGAGUCUAUCCUUUGGUUGGAGCUGUACGACCAAAAAUUUCAAGGCUUAUUGGAUUAUUGGAAGAACUUGUGUUGUCAAUGUUAUAGUGUCGCGUAUUUGAUUUUUGUAGGCACCAAAUUGGAAUCCCUGGGGCUGCUUUAAAUCUGCUUUUGAUUCGUUUUUCCCUAGUGAUGUGAUACCGUUUACACUUUUGUAGGCACCAAAUUGGAGCCGUCGUGUCUCCUGUUUUCAAACCUGUCUUAGUGAGCCAAGUCAAUCUGGCAUUGUGCAUUUGCAGAUGUUCCAAGAAUUCAAUUACUCAAGCAUGGCAAGUAGUGAAAAGGUUUAUUUGCUAUUUUACAAUUAUCAUUACCUAUUUUUGAUAAAUAUGCUAAACGCGUUAAUGUUAUCUCAGACUAGCAUUUCACAAUACUCUAUUGACUGAAAAUGGGUGUGUGUCUUGCCUCUCUGCUUGUGGAUACUAUUGCAUUGCUAGCGGACUGUUAAUAGUAAUAAUAUGUGAUUCGUUGCAUGCUAAAUCUUUUCUGUUGUUAUGACUGGUUCAUACAUGUGGCUUCCUGAAGUUGUUGAUAUAUGUUUUCACCUGUGUACUGUGACCUAUCCUAUAGAUUGGAGGAGCCAGUAAAUUUGAAGUUAGCGAGGAUGGAGUAACAGAUGCACUUAAUGCCCAAUAAAGCUACUAUUGAAGAGGGUAUCGUGCCAGGAUGUGGUGGUGUUACCCUUCUAUAUGCAUCAAAGGCUUUCGAUAGAUUGUGUCCUCCUGACAAAGGGUAUUUUAGAGGUUGCAGAUGACCCCUUCGAGAACCCAUGUAAAUGCCAACAUUGUUCACUCUUAACCAAUGUCAACUAGCUACCAACAAUAUUUAUCUAUGCUAUAUGCAGCCAAAUAGAUGUUUGUUUUGUUAGAUAGGUGUGCAGUAGGAAGAGUGUGGAUCGGAACUACUAUUCUAACUUUUUGACUCAGAACUUCUAAAUUUGUUUUCCUUUUAUGCACUA